rnacentral:rRNA from 1 species
AUACGUAGGGAGCGAGCGUUGUCCGGAAUUACUGGGUGUAAAGAGCUCGUAGGUGGUUUGUCGCGUCGUCUGUGAAAUUCCGGGGCUUAACUCCGGGCGUGCAGGCGAUACGGGCACAACUUGAGUACUGUAGGGGAGACUGGAAUUCCUGGUGUAGCGGUGAAAUGCGCAGAUAUCAGGAGGAACACCGGUGGCGAAGGGGGGUCUAUGGGAAGUAACGGACGCUGAGGAGCGAAAGCAUGGGUCGCGAACAGGAUUAGAUACCCGGGUAGUCCAUGCCGUAAACGGUGGGCGCUAGGUGUAGGGGUCUUCCACGACUUCUGUGCCGUAGCUAACGCAUUAAGCGCCCCGCCUGGGGAGUACGGCCGCAAGGCUAAAACUCAAAUGAAUUGGCGGGG